rnacentral:rRNA from 1 species
AUGAGUUUUGAUCCUGGCUCAGGACGAACGCUGGCGGCGUUCCUAAUACAUGCAAGUCGAGCGGACAGAUGGGAGCUUGCUCCCUGAUGUUAGCGGCGGACGGGUGAGUAACACGUGGGUAACCUGCCUGUAAGACUGGGAUAACUCCGGGAAACCGGGGCUAAUACCGGAUGCUUGAUUGAACCGCAUGGUUCAAUUAUAAAAGGUGGCUUUUAGCUACCACUUACAGAUGGACCCGCGGCGCAUUAGCUAGUUGGUGAGGUAACGGCUCACCAAGGCAACGAUGCGUAGCCGACCUGAGAGGGUGAUCGGCCACACUGGGACUGAGACACGGCCCAGACUCCUACGGGAGGCAGCAGUAGGGAAUCUUCCGCAAUGGACGAAAGUCUGACGGAGCAACGCCGCGUGAGUGAUGAAGGUUUUCGGAUCGUAAAACUCUGUUGUUAGGGAAGAACAAGUACCGUUCGAAUAGGGCGGUACCUUGACGGUACCUAACCAGAAAGCCACGGCUAACUACGUGCCAGCAGCCGCGGUAAUACGUAGGUGGCAAGCGUUGUCCGGAAUUAUUGGGCGUAAAGCGCGCGCAGGCGGUUUCUUAAGUCUGAUGUGAAAGCCCCCGGCUCAACCGGGGAGGGUCUAUUGG